rnacentral:tRNA from 3 species
GGACCCGUAGCUCAGUCUGGUUAGAGCUCCCGGCUCAUAACCGGUAGGUCGUAGGUUCGAGUCCUACCGGGUCCACCA